rnacentral:rRNA from 1 species
GACAGAGGGUGCAAACGUUGUUCGGAUUUACUGGGCGUAAAGCGCGUGUAGGCGGCUUUGUAAGUUAGAGGUGAAAGCCCGGGGCUCAACUCCGGAAUUGCCUUUAAGACUACAUCGCUAGAAUUGUGGAGAGGUAAGUGGAAUUCCGAGUGUAGAGGUGAAAUUCGUAGAUAUUCGGAAGAACACCAGUGGCGAAGGCGACUUACUGGACACAUAUUGACGCUGAGGUGCGAAAGCGUGGGGAGCAAACAGG